GAGGCAGCUGGAAGAAUCUAGUUCAUUAUAUGUGAAGUUUAUUUGGAAAAAUGAAAAGAAUUGUUGCCCUACAGAAGAACUUGGUAGUGACGUCUGCAGAGAGGUGCUGGGCAUCUUGUUUAAAUUCCUUGUGACUUAGGGCUAUGGAACUGAGCCAAAACCAGCAUCACGGCUGCCCCGUCACAUUGCUGCAGUUUGAAACACCUGUCUAAAGAACAACGUAGAGCUCAUCACACAGAAGUGAGCCAGCUAUCUCUGCCAGGCAGAGUAGAGUUCUAGCAUCUGUGUCAUCAGGCCAAAUGAUGUAUGAUCCAGUUUGAUUUAAUUUACUUAUCAUUCACAUUGGAGAGAAUUCAAAAUAUGAAGACAGAACAGAUCCUGAUUAAAGAAAGGAAGAUGCAGAGUGCCCUGCGCUGAAUUUGUCACCAGCCAGCAGAGGGAGUGUCUGAAGCUUCAGUGCAGGAAAAUGCCACAGUUUUGUGUCAUGGGAGUGGCCCCCAUCCCUGGAUGUAUGUGACCUGAGUUUGAGAAGCAUGGACAUACAUUUGCUCACAUACUAAUAGCAGAAAAUAAGUACAGAAAAGAAGAUUAAUAUCAGAUUGUGGUUGGCCUUGAAAAGCAUGGCACCUGAUUUGGAAUCUCAGCCUUCUCAGAUCUUCUGUGAGCCUCUAAUAUCUUUUCAACAAACUUCUUUUUCGGCUUCACCAGUCUACUACUUCCUGGAAUGAAACAAAUAUACAACAGGUCUUUGCAAUAAAUCUUGCUGCUGCUCACUCUUUGGGUCUGCACUACCGUUAUAAGCUGCAACACUCCCUGCAAAGGUCUGCAGCUUCACUCCUGAGGCCAGCAAGACCAUGAACCCACAGGGAGGAAUAAACAACUCUGCAAGGGAGGAACGAACAACUCCAGCUGCGCCGCCUUAAGAAUUGUAACACUCACCGCGAGGGUCUGCAGCUGCUUUCUUGAAGUCGGUGUAUGUAGAAAAGGAAGGACAAUAUCUCAGGAAGGUGAGCUCCUGAGAGGGACUUUGUCCUAUAAUCCAUCCAUCCCUGGAAAAUACAUGAAAUAAGACUUGGAGAUAAAGGCUGAAUGCAACAGUAAGCCGGUAUAAAAGUUAUGUUCUGGGAGGCAAUGCUACGAGUUACAGAGGAGCACUUUAUUUAUUUGUGUAUAUUUAUUUUUAAUUGGUGUGAUAUUUAGAGUAGUCAAUCAUUUUGACCCCUCAACUACUUAUUGAUCAGAAUAUUGCUAAUUCCGCAUGGUGCAUAUACUUUUUAAAAAAGACUUAUUCAAUUACAGUGAUGAAUGUAAUUUAUUUUUCUUUAAAUUUGCUCUGAUAUUAAUUAAUGAAAAAAUGCAUUACAGCCUCUUUGUAAAAGAUGAGGGCAAGGUAAACAAGGCAUGCUGUCUCUGAGGGCUUCAGAUUUUAUCUCUAAUACUCAAGAUGAUAAACUUAGAUAUUACAUUAGCUUUAGAUAUGUUAGUAAUCAAGUGUGGCCAGAUAGCUGUCUCCUGAUUACGUAUCUGAGAAGAUAAAUAUGGUAUUUAUGCCAAUCAAAGUCAACUUCAAUUCACUCUUUGACGAGUUCCAAGCUUAACAGAGUGUUCUGCAAACAGAAGCAGCUUAAGAGAUCAGCUGAAAAUGAAAAAAUUAUUUAUCCCUCAGCCAUCUUAAGGCUAAAGAUAAACAGUCCCUCGAUAUAUUCCUUAAAUGUGAGAAAAGCUGCAAAAACUUAGCAGGUUUACUGAUAUGGCAUAACUUAUGUAGGAAUUAUCUGGUCUAUGAAAAUGUGUUUUUUUAAAUUGUGAAAACAAUGUCACAACAUUACAAAAAAUUGGGCAAAUACAAGGGAAGAUAUCAAUCAUAAUUUCAACACUCAAACAUUAAAAUGCAAUAUUUUUGAU